CUUUCUGUCAGAAGCUGAUGCCAGUGGCCUUCCUCUGAAGCGCAGCCAUGUGCAAAGCCAGGGGAGGAGCACGGAGUGUGGCACAGCACCCAAGAGAGCAGUGACCAGCUCGGAUGUGCCGAAGGACAUCACGGACAUCCAGGGUUUGCUCUCGUGGAUCAAUGAGGUGGCAAGAGCUGUUGAGGUCCCCCAUGAGAACCCCAGCAGCCCUGCCCCAGGAUGCUUCAUUGCUGAGCUCCCUGACAAUCCCAGGGACAACAGGGAGCUCAGCACACAGGCUGCCACUGGGACGCCCGCUGACCCCUUCUGGGGGCUUCCACCAUCCCCCGGGUUCCUGCCUGAGCUGCCGUGUGGGUUGUCGCACCCUGCCGUGCCACCAGCGAGUGCCCGGCUCAGCCCACGGCCGACCACCUUGGCUGCC